CCGAGUGAGGGCCCCUGGCCCGACCUCCAACCCUUUGUUGACCAACACUUGUUGCCUCGGGGGCGACCCGGACGCCGACGCGUCGGCGUCGGGCACCCCGACGGACCCAUUAAACACUGUAUCUGUACGUCGGAGUACUUGAUAAAUCAAUCA
rnacentral:misc_RNA from 1 species